rnacentral:lncRNA from 1 species
UUUCACAAGGUGGAAGAGAUAUGUAAAUAGCUGUCGCUGGUGAUGUGUGCAUAAUUGAAAGGCAUAAAAUUAUUUUAAAAAGUUAACAGUGAUUAAGUUCUUAGAAAACACUGCAGAGGGAGAAAUAGUUGCAAAUGGCAGCUCCAAGUAUCUCAAAUUUUAACAUGCAAAUAGAACUCCAGGGGAUCUUAUGGAAGUAGACUCUGAUUUAGUAGAUUUGGAAUAGGACCUGAAUAAUUGCGUUUUUUUUUUUUUUUUUGGUCUUUUUAGGGCCACUCCUAGCCUGGGAACCUCCAUAUGCUGUGGGUGUGGCCCCAGAAAAGACAAAAAGAAAACAAACAAACAAACAAACAAACCCUGCCUCCAAGAAAACCUCCCGAAAGGAAUGUGGACAUUAUGCUUUAAUGUUUGAAAGACAGAUCUGGAGACUACCCUUAGCGGGUUCCUCCUCCCUCCUCUGAACUUUUCGAUGUUGCUUUUUGCCAUGGCAACAGUAGACUUUUGCCUUUUCCAAUGGAAAAAGCUAGAAGCAGUCCAAAUAAACAAAUACCAGCACCACAAGGAAACAAACCACACCAACCCCAAAUCUCACACUUAAUCACUCAGAAAAUAUCCUUCAUUAAGUUGACAAUGUUCAUGGAGCAUGGAAGUCGCACCCACAGUCUUCUUGCCUUGGUUUGGCUGUCGGACACUAUGAGCGUGGCUUGUUCCUUCUCCUUUUUGUCACCCAUGGCUUUGUAUCCCAGGGUAGAAGGUCAGAAAGAGGCUCAAGGGAAGGUUCUCCUUUGUCCUUCUGAGCCUGAGGGCCCGGUGAGCUUUUCAGAGUGGCGAGAAGGGCCUGGAAGACUACCUCACUGAGGGAUGUUUCCAUGCCUCCCACAAGUUCCUCUUCCUGUGAGUCCAUUUUCAGGAAAGGGCCUGCACAGAAUGUCUGUGUCUGAAGAGAGUUUGUCUAGGAGUCUUGAUGAGGCUUGGAGGGCUGAUGCUGGUGCUGCAGGUCCAGGAGAGGGCAUGUCUCUUAAUUUGCAUGUGCAGGCUGCAGAAUCACCCCUUGCCUGGGCUGUCCCCUGGCAAGGACAGCUUGGGCCCCUGGCCCCACCACUGUGGGGCCUGGGAGGUGCAUGGCUGAGCCAGAUGCUGCAGAGAGUUGUCAAGGCCAGGCUGAAGGGCAUCCUGGAGACUAUGUGCUGCCAUGGUAGUGUGCAGGUUGUUCUGGCAUGCUCCUCCCUGUGAUGGGGGCCAGAGAGCUGUGUGAAUAGGGUAGAGACCACCUCUGGGAAUGGGUCCCAUGGAAGAGUGACUCAGGACAGUUCCCAGAGGUAGGGUUUUCUCUUCCCUGCAGAGCCAGCCUGGGCUGGACCAGCAUAAACAUCAAUGGCUGGCCCCACAGCCCCCAGAGGGAACCCAGGCACAAAGAAGGCAAGGGAUAAAGGAGGAGCACCUUUGGCAAAGAAUGCAUGCCCUCAGGUGGAUCCGAGGGAGGAAAAGGAUGAGAGCCUUGUGGGGAGUGGAAGGAGGCUUUGGUUCAAGGGAGCCGUCAGGGCUGGUCUGGUAUCAGGGUCUCCUGUCAGGACAUCCACAAGCCUACCUGUGCUCUGCUCUGGGUGCCAAGCUCUUUGGUUCUGAAACCAUAUAUAGGAGGAGUUCUUAUUGUGGUGCAGUGGGAAUGAAUCUGACUAGCAUCCAUGAGGACACAGGUUAGAUCCCUGGCCUUACUCAGUGGGUCGGGGAUCCAGCAUUGCCGUGAGCUGUGG